GCUGGGCAUGGUGAUGCAUGCCUGUAAUCCCAGUGACUUGGGAGGCUGAGACAGGUGUAUUGUGAGUUCAAAGCCAGCCUCAGCAACAGAGAGGUGCUAAGCAACUCAGUGAGACCCUGUCUCUA
rnacentral:sRNA from 1 species